GACGAACGCUGGCGGCGUGCUUAACACAUGCAAGUCGAGCGGUAAGGCCCUUUCGGGGGUACGACGAGCGGCGAACGGGUGAGUAACACGUGGGUGACCUGCCCUCAGCUCUGGGAUAAGCCUGGGAAACCGGGUCUAAUACUGGAUAUGACUCCAUGACGCAUGUUGUGGGGUGGAAAGCCUUGUGCGGCUGAGGAUGGGCCCGCGGCCUAUCAGCUUGUUGGUGGGGGUGANGGCCUACCAAGGCGACGACGGGUAGCCGGCCUGAGAGGGCGACCGGCCACACUGGGACUGAGACACGGCCCAGACUCCUACGGGAGGCAGCAGUGGGGAAUCUUGCGCAAUGGGCGAAAGCCUGACGCAGCGACGCCGCGUGAGGGAUGACGGCCUGG
rnacentral:rRNA from 1 species